rnacentral:lncRNA from 1 species
AUGCAAUUUUCUUAUUCUUUUUUUAUUUGCAAAAGAGAAGAAGCAUUAGACUUCCAAUCUCCAUUUUUAUCUUCGUAAUCGAUUUUUUUUUAUGAAAUCCAUCAAUUUUAUUUCAUGCAAAUCCGUGUUCUAGGUUCAGUUUAAUUUCUACUUUUUAUGCAAUCUUUUAAUUUUUCUUUUAUGCAAUCCGUGUCUAAAUUUUAAUUUAAUAUUCUACAAUUUAUUUUAUGCAUUAUGGAAUUCUUAUUUUAAUUAAAAAACUCUCUUUCUUUUCUUUAUCUAUUUUUCUUUACAAAAAUAGCUCUGUUUGGUUAGAGAUUAAUCGAAUAUCCUUAAUUAAUUAUUUUUUAAAAAAAACAAAAUAAAUCUUUGCGGAGUUUUUAUUUUCUAUUUGUGCACUCCAAUCGCCUUCCUGUGGAUCGACCUCCUACAACCAUUAUUCAUCGAAUAGAGAAUGGUAAAAGUAAAUAUAAAAAUAUAUUUGUUUGUUGGUUAAGAUUUUGACAACACCAUUUUUAUGUCAUCCUCAGUCUAAAAAAAAUAGCCGACAACGGCUCUAAAAGCCUUUGCUUAGCAGGAAUGUUGUAUGAUGAUCUCAAGAUCCCAAUAAAACUUCCAUAGCCAUAGAUGCAUCAUGCUUGCUUAUAACGCUAAGAAAUUACUUUGUACUGGUCAAAGAGAAACGAGGGGGAAGAAGGCAUAACCUAGUUGAUUCUUAAAAUUCUACAUUUCUUGUGUUAUACAACAUAAGCCUGAGGCAACAUUCUCUAAGUUACAUGUUUAAAGCUAAAAUACUAAACAAAACCCUCAACCACAUAAUUUACACUAAAUGAACCAACCGAACGGCCUUGAUGCCAUGGUUUUCAACCCUGAAACACUAACGG